rnacentral:rRNA from 1 species
GAUGAACGCUGGCGGCGUGCCUAAUACAUGCAGGUCGAGCGAAUGGAUUAAGAGCUUGCUCUUAUGAAGUUAGCGGCGGACGGGUGAGUAACACGUGGGUAACCUGCCCAUAAGACUGGGAUAACUCCGGGAAACCGGGGCUAAUACCGGAUAAUAUUUUGAACUGCAUGGUUCAAAAUUGAAAGGCGGCUUCGGCUGUCACUUAUGGAUGGACCCGCGUCGCAUUAGCUAGUUGGGGAGGGAACGGCUCACCAAGGCAACGAUGCGUAGCCGACCUGAGAGGGUGAUCAGCCACACUGGGACUGAGACACGGCCCAGACUCCUCCGGGAGGCAGCAGUAGGGAAUCUUCCGCAAUGGACGAAAGUCUGACGGAGCAACGCCGCGUGAGUGAUGAAGGCUUUCGGGUCGUAAAACUCUGUUGUUAGGGAAGAACAAGUGCUAGUUGAAUAAGCUGGCACCUUGACGGUACCUAACCAGAAGGCCACGGCUAACUACGUGCCAGCCGCCGCAGUAA